GUCCCCAUAGUUUAAUGGAUAAAACAUUGGCCUCCGGAGCCAAAAAGUGUAGGUUCAAUUCCUACUGGGGACACCA
rnacentral:tRNA from 2 species